AUUGCUUCUCUGAUCUCAUGGCUGUGUUUUUUUGCUGCAGGAGUUCACUUGGUGUCCAUAAAUCACCGGCUGCUUACGGCUGAGACGUCUCUGAGUCAUCAGCAUGUAAUAAGGACGGUCAGCAAGAUUCAGAAGGCGCAUCGUAUCAACAACACCUUUUUGGCCCAGACAACCCUAGUUCCAGCAUGUGAUGCACAGAAGACGUCAAUGAACAGCAGUUACGGUGCCUGUUUCUACUGGAAUGCUUUGCUUGAGCUCAUGGACUUAAUAACUGUGAAGCAUUUACUGCAGUGGAUCCAACCAUCCUCCAAGAAGCCUUCUUCCAGGCUAAGAAACUUCAACUUAAGUGGCUCUUCCUCCAAUUGAAGGAAGUUGGAGAAGGACUCCUUGGGCUGGAGGAAAGUUUCAAUCUUCAGCCAAAAGGAAUUUGAGGUUCUUAGCCGGCACACAUCAUUCUGUUGUACUUGAAGAUUCACACACUCCUUUGCGGCUGUUUUAUUUCACUCCUCGCUCCACACAAAGUACAAUGAAAGCCAGGAAAGGAAGCCUGAGCUCUGCACACUGUCAGUGCUCCUGUUCCACUGAACCCAACAUUUCAAAACGCACCAAACUGAUAUCAAAGACCACCACCUUUGACGGAUUAAUAAAAACUUUUCUGCAAGUCA